GACGAACGCUGGCGGCGUGCCUAAUACAUGCAAGUAGGACGCAGUUGCGAACGGGUGAGUAACGCGUAGGUAACUACCUAUUAGAGGGGGAUAACUAUUGGAAACGAUAGCUAAUACCGCAUACUAGUAGAUGGACCUGCGUUGUAUUUGCUAGUAGGUAGGGUAAUGGCCUACCUAGGCAACGAGACAUAGCCGACCUGGGGGGGUGAUCGGCCACACUGGGGCUGGGAAACGGGCCAGACUCCUGCGGGAGGCAGCAGUGGGGAAUCUUCGGCAAUGGGGGGAAACCUGACCGAGCAACGCCGCGGGAGAGAAGAAGGUUUUCGGAGCGUAAAGCUCUGUUGUUACGGGAGCGGUACUUGACCAGAAAGGGACGGCUAACUACGUGCCAGCAGCCGCGGUAAUAC
rnacentral:rRNA from 1 species